rnacentral:ncRNA from 1 species
UUUCAUAAAAGCGCCAGAACUUAAGUGGAUAUAGAUAACUAGCUUUUAAAUCAUUUAAUUAAACCAAAGGUUUGAUUUUUUAAAGGAAACUCAGCUUACGCUGAGUAAGUUCGACCAACCAAAUCGAAGAUUUGGGGUCUCACUUAAGUUGACGAGGAUGGGGAGUAUCGAAUUCUUCGGCGGGUGCCCCACGGUAUCGCACUACCGUUAACGACUAGCAAAACUACAAAGUGAUUUGUAGCACAAU